GGGGUCAGGAAAGAAACUGCUGUGCCAGCAACCAAAAGUAACAUCAAGAGGACCAGCUCUUCUGAACGAGUGUCUCCUGGGGGUCGAAGGGAAAGCAAUGGGGAUUCCAGAGGAAACCGGAAUCGCACAGGCUCCACCAGCAGCUCUUCCAGUGGCAAAAAGAACAGUGAAAGAUUAAGGAGGUUAAGCUGGUGGAGGUGAAGCCCCUCACCCAAGCCCUAGAACACGGAUCCAGCUGGCCUCAAAAUCUGUGCUCCUUCCACCAUGUUAAGCUGGGAAGUAUUGGUUGGAAAUGUCUAUGAAGCAGUCGCUUUUGUCCCAAAUAAAGUCUCCAGCAACUUCUAAACAUUUUGAAUAGAUGGUUCUUAAAUGACCCUAUUUCUAAUAAAAAGCUGCUUAAGGACAA
rnacentral:lncRNA from 10 species